rnacentral:rRNA from 1 species
UCUCAGAGAUUAAGCCAUGCAUGUCUAAGUACAUACCUUCAAACGGUGAAACCGCGAAUGGCUCAUUAAAUCAGCUAUGGUUCCUUAGAUCGUACCUACUACAUGGAUAACUGUAGUAAUUCUAGAGCUAAUACAUGCCACUAUGCCCUGACCCGCAAGGGAACGGGUGGAUUUAUUAGAACAGAACCAACCGGUCGUGGCUUCGGCUGCUUCCGUUGAUUUCUGUGAUGACUCUGGAUAACUUCACUGAUCGCAGUCGGCCUUGUGUCGGCGACGGAUCUUUCAAAUGUCUGCCCUAUCAAUUUUCGAUGGUAGGUGACCUGCCUACCAUGGUGAUAACGGGUAACGGGGAAUCAGGGUUCGAUUCCGGAGAGGGAGCCUGAGAAACGGCUACCACUUCCAAGGAAGGCAGCAGGCGCGCAAAUUACCCAAUCCCGGUACGGGGAGGUAGUGACGAAAAAUACGGAUACGGGACUCAACAGAGGCUCCGUAAUUCGAAUGAGUACAAUUUAAAUCCUUUAACGAGGAUCAACUGGAGGGCAAGUCUGGUGCCAGCAGCCG